rnacentral:misc_RNA from 1 species
GGGGAAGGGAGGUGUCCAUGCUUAAGGAAAUAUUCAAAGCUUUUCAUAUGCAUAACAUUAAUCUGUUUUCCUUGGAUUUUUUUUUUUAAAUGAAUCAUGUAUUUGGUUAAAUGCCAUGGGGAAAGUGACAUUUACUAUUAAUGUUAGCUAUUUCGCAUUAUUAAAAAUGCAUUGGCUUUGUAAAGAGCUAUUCCUUCUGAAAAAUACAUGUAGAUGCCAAUUUGUGCAAAUUUAUCUCUUU